rnacentral:rRNA from 1 species
UACGUAGGGUGCAAGCGUUAAUCGGAAUUACUGGGCGUAAAGGGCGCGUAGGCGGCCACCGCAAGUCGACUGUGAAAUCUCCGGGCUUAACCCGGAAAGGUCAGCCGAUACUGCGGGGCUAGAGUGCAGAAGGGGCAACUGGAAUUCUCGGUGUAGCGGUGAAAUGCGUAGAUAUCGAGAGGAACACCUGCGGCGAAGGCGGGUAGCUGGGCCGACACUGACGCUGAUGCGCGAAAGCCAGGGGAGCGAACGGG